AUGGGAACGCGAAGAACCUUACCUAGACUUGACAUCUUCUGCAUUAAUCGUAAUGGAUGAAAUCCCUUCGGGGACAGAAUGACAGGUGGUGCAUGGUUGUCGUCAGCUCGUGUCGUGAGAUGUUGGGUUAAGUCCCGCAACGAGCGCAACCCCUAUUAUUAGUUGCUAACAUUAAGUUGAGCACUCUAGUGAGACUGCCCGGGUUAACCGGGAGGAAGGCGGGGAUGACGUCAAAUCAUCAUGCCCCUUAUGUCUAGGGCAACACACGUGCUACAAUGGUGAGUACAGAUAGAUGCGAUACCGCAAGGUGGAGCCAAACUCUAAAACUCAUCCCAGUUCGGAUUGUAGGCUGCAACUCGCCUACAUGAAGUUGGAGUUGCUAGUAAUCGCGAAUCAGAAUGUCGCGGUGAAUACGUUCCCGGGUCUUGUACACACCG
rnacentral:rRNA from 1 species